rnacentral:rRNA from 1 species
GACGAACGCUGGCGGCGUGCCUAAUACAUGCAAGUCGAGCGCAGGAAAUCGACGGAACCCUUCGGGGGGAAGUCGACGGAAUGAGCGGCGGACGGGUGAGUAACACGUAAAGAACCUGCCCCCAGGUCUGGGAUAACCACGAGAAAUCGGGGCUAAUACCGGAUGGGUCAUCGGACCGCAUGGUCCGAGGAUGAAAGGCGCUUCGGCGUCGCCUGGGGAUGGCUUUGCGGUGCAUUAGCUAGUUGGUGGGGUAAUGGCCCACCAAGGCGACGAUGCAAAGCCGACCUGAGAGGGUGAUCGGCCACACUGGGACUGAGACACGGCCCAGACUCCUACGGGAGGCAGCAGUAGGGAAUCUUCCACAAUGGACGAAAGUCUGAUGGAGCAACGCCGCGUGAACGAUGAAGGCCUUCGGGUCGUAAAGUUCUGUUGUAAGGGAAGAACAAGUGCCGCAGGCAAUGGCGGCACCUUGACGGUACCUUGCGAGAAAGCCACGGCUAACUACGUGCCAGCAGCCGCGGUAA